rnacentral:misc_RNA from 1 species
AAGAGACGUUGCCCUUCGGGGUAUACCUCCCAUCCUUUGUUUAUUAUACCUUUGUUGCUUUGGCGGGCCCGUCCUCGGACCACCGGCUUCUGCUGGUCAGUGCCCGCCAGAGGACCUAAAACUCUGUUUGUUAAUAUUGUCUGAGUACUAUAUAAUAGUUA